CGACCCACGCGCUGUCAAAGGAGAUAUCGUGGCCCCGCCUCGCGAGCCUGCCUCCCUCCUCUCUCGCCAGGUCCUUCUCCCUCCUUCUCUCUCCACCUUUCUCUUUCUGCCCUCCCCCGUGAUCUACCUGCCCCGCCGGCCGCCAUGGCGUUCGGCGACCGCAUGACCACCCUCGUCUACGUCCGCAAGGUAUGCAUCCUCAACCCUCCCUCCUGUCCCCGUCCCCUCCUCUGCACCGGCUGGAUCGCGAGACUCGUCUCGUGGAUCUCCGAUGCGUAGAUGAGGUAGCCUCGGUUCGGAAUCGGGGUAUCUCUAGAUCUCUCCACCGUGCGCCUCUGCUCGCCUCGAUCGCGAGGGAGCACGGGGCUGUGAAUUGGGCGGGUCGGGAGGGCUGGAUUGGUGGGGAGAUUCGUUCAAUUGGGCUGGAUUGGUGGGGAGAUUCGUUCAAUUGGGCUGGAUUGGUGGGGAGAUUCGUUGAAUUGGGCGAAAGUCAGCGAGCUGUACACAGUCGGGCCAGCUAGGUCCGGCGUUUGCUGCUGAUGCUAAUUGACAAUUAAAUGGUCCGGCAUACCAUAUGCAGGAUUGGGAAUAAUAAUCAUCUUCCCAAUUCUUAUCCCCCAACUAAUUCCCUCCUCCAAAUUCCCAUUCCCUAUCCCCAGAGUAGCCAAACACGCUGUACAUGACGACGCGAAUCAGCAAGACUCCAUUUUGUUCUUCUUGUUUUAUUACUACUACUGCAUUUUGGAUCCUGGAUCGGACAAGUGCUUUGGUUCUUCUUGAGUUUUGUCUAUCAGGGCUUCUGGUGCUGUAUGUACCAUGCUUGAGAGUCAACUUUUACAUGAUCUGGACACUUCCUUUUUGUGGGGUGUAGGGGCUUAAUUUAAGUUGUUGUAGAAUUGUUAUGAAUUCUAGAAUUUACAUGAUUUAUAUUCAACUGUUGUGACUUCUCAUACCUCCGAUCCGACCACCAAGUUGAGCUGCUCGUCCCGGAGACGCCGCCGUCCAGGGCCUUGUCUGUGUUGGCUCUAAAGGUACCUAGGGUUUUGCCGUGGCCGGCAAGGGCAGCCUGGAGCGCGUCCAGAAGGAGGAGUACCAGCUUAUCUGCAAGGAUAACGAGGAGAAGAACGGAAAGCUGUGGCCUUGUUCUUCGAAUCCAUUGUUUGUUGUUUAUCAGUCGCAGCAAUGUGACAGUUAGAAUUUCUAUAGCAGCGUUCUGUUUAUGAUCAUCUUGUUAUAUGAUUGUCAAAAUAAGGGGUUAACUUGUUCAAUGCCAGGUACAGAUCUGUACAUAGCAGUCCGAGAGUAAAGUGCAGUAAAUAGUUUCAUAUUUAUUUAAACUUUCACUGCAAGAGAGCAUUGUUAUGCAGCACAAAAACUUUAGGAGAUUCUUUUAAAUUUCUUGUAGGCUAUGUUUUUUUAAUAUGGACCUUUUUGUUAGUACCGUUGUUCUGAAAUAUAAGCCUUUUUUAAAUAAAGAUUGAAUUUGUUUUUAUUCUU